AGUAGUCAUACGCUCGUCUCAAAGAUUAAGCCAUGCGUGUGUAAGUAUAAAUAGUUAACUUUGAAACUGCGAAUGGCUCAUUAUAUCAGUUAUAGUUUAUUUGAUGAAGAAUACUAAUUGGAUAACCGUAGUAAUUCUAGAGCUAAUACAUGUAUAAAGUCUUGUAGACUGCAUUUACUAGAAUGAAAACCAUAGGUUUCGGCCUAUUCGUGAGUAAUAAUAACUAAUCAUAUCGUAUGCUUAUGUAACGAUGUGUCUUUCGAGUUUCUGCCCUAUCAGCUUUCGAUGGUAGUGUAUUGGACUGCCAUGGCAGUAACGGGUAACGAAGAA
rnacentral:rRNA from 1 species